GGAUAUGGGAAGAUAAUCUGGCUACAACAUCUGUCACCCUAUUGACCACCAGGGUUGAUUCACCUGAUCUGGCUGGCUAGACAAUUGUCCUCUUCCCCAUCACUGCUCCAUCUGCUCAACAUAUGUGCAGCCUGCCUGAAGCUGCAUGCUCCAUUGAAGAAGAUAGUCUUUCCCAAAAGAAGACAAGCCUUCAACCAAAAGCAUAUGAGUAGCUGUGCUCAAAAGCCCACACUAGACCUACUCUGUCUCUCUCUGCCUGCUUGCUGCCUGUGGAUCAGG
rnacentral:snRNA from 1 species